AAUCAACGCUGGCGGCGUGCUUAACACAUGCAAGUCGAGCGGAGAUGAGGUGCUUGCACCUUAUCUUAGCGGCGGACGGGUGAGUAAUGCUUAGGAAUCUGCCUAUUAGUGGGGGACAACAUUCCGAAAGGAAUGCUAAUACCGCAUACGUCCUACGGGAGAAAGAAGGGGAUCUUCGGACCUUGCGCUAAUAGAUGAACAUAAGUCGGAUUAGCUAGUUGGUGGGGUAAAGGCCUACCAAGGCGACGAUCUGUAGCGGGUCUGAGAGGAUGAUCCGCCACACUGGGACUGAGACACGGCCCAGACUCCUACGGGAGGCAGCAGUGGGGAAUAUUGGACAAUGGGCGGAAGCCUGAUCCAGCCAUGCCGCGUGUGUGAAGAAGGCCUUUUGGUUGUAAAGCACUUUAAGCGAGGAGGAGACUACCUAGAUUAAUACUCUGGGAUAGUGGACGUUACUCGCAGAAUAAGCACCGGCUAACUCUGUGCCAGCCGCCGCAGUAAUAC
rnacentral:rRNA from 1 species